CUAGUACUCCCUCCGUCCGAAAAUACUCGUCAAAGAAAUGAAUGAAAAUGAAUGUAUCUAAAACUAAAUUGCAUCUAGAUACAUCCAUUCCUCCGACAAGUAUUUUUGAACGGAGGGAGUAGAUG
rfam:Triticum aestivum genome assembly, contig: Triticum_aestivum_CS42_TGACv1_scaffold_404315_5BL